GGGCCCGCACAAGCGGUGGAGCAUGUGGUUCAAUUCGACGCAACGCGAAGAACCUUACCCAGGCUUGAACAGCGAGGGACCAACCCCGAAAGGGGUCUUCCGCAAGGACUCUCGUAGAGGUGCUGCAUGGCUGUCGUCAGCUCGUGUCGUGAGAUGUUGGGUUAAGUCCCGCAACGAGCGCAACCCUUGUUUGCUGUUGCCAUCACGUUAUGGUGGGCACUCUGCAAAGACUGCCGGUGAUAAACCGGAGGAAGGUGGGGAUGACGUCAAGUCAGCAUGGCCUUUAUGUCUGGGGCUACACACGUGCUACAAUGGCCGGUACAAACCGUCGCAAAACCGUAAGGUCGAGCUAAUCGGACAAAGCCGGUCUCAGUUCGGAUUGUAGGCUGCAACUCGCCUGCAUGAAGUUGGAAUCGCUAGUAAUCGCGGAUCAGCACGCCGCGGUGAAUACGUUCCCGGGCCUU
rnacentral:rRNA from 1 species